AUGGUCACUGUGAGGUGCUUCUUCAAGUUGGCAAAGUUUCACUCUCUACCAAACAUGAAAAAGACAAAAGUGGUAGAAAAAGACCCAAAGGAGGAAUGUGAGAUUGCAGAAUACAAAACAGACUGGUUCAAGAUGGGAGAGGAGAGAAAACCCAGAAAACUACAUGAGGAGGGAUUUGAAGAACUAAAAACAGAGAACAGGAUGGCAAACUCAAGGCAAAAUCCAGCUGCCUCCCUCACAAGCUCUGGAACAGCCAUAAGAAGGGAUAGGAUGGUAGUGACUACAGAGUCAGUUCACUUGGGCAGGACAUCAGAGGACUCAGACACCAGCUUCCCAUCUCAGGUCUUGAUCUCAUCACAACCAGGAUCCUGGAGGAGCUGAUGUGGCUGAAGGAGCUGAAGCCCCCACCGGAGCCAAAGUUAGAUUGGAAGGAGUCCAGGCCAUGGCUGAGGCCAGAGCUUGUGAGCUCAGCUCACCUGAGUAGCCUCUGGUGGUCUUCUUGUGGAUAUUCAUGUACCGCAUUCCAGACUCCAGCCAGCUCUCCUUGCCCUCCAGCAGCAUCCUGUAGGUGGUGAUCUCGAUGUCCAGGACCACCCAGACCUUCUUCAGUUCCUGGUACCCUCACAGCUGUAGGGCACGUCCUUCCUGGCUCAUUUCAGAGAGCCUCCAGCUCCACCAGCUUCGCACUGGCGUCCUUAACGACCAUCUCCCCACACUGCAAGGUCUCCACGACAGCAGCCUCCAGGAAAUUCUCUGACCUCUGAGCCCCUCUGUCUCAGCCCACAGCUGGCUGAUGUUCUAGUUUGUCUCAGAGAUCUUCGAAUGCCACAGAUCAUCCCGAUGCUCCCCAGCCAGCGUCUGCAGCUCCUCACACUUGAUCUGGUGCAAGCUCUCAGUCUCACUGAGCUGUGGCUGGCCAUCUCUGCUACUAAGCGCGGACUUGGAGAUGAUGCUGUUGACAUCCAGGGAGCUGAUAUUGUCCAUGUACAGGACCACAGAUGUGUCUGAAGUCUUAUGCUGCAGCUCAAAGAUCUCCUCUUCACACAGCUGCCUGAGGAAGUUCAUCUCUCCAGUCAAGUCCUUCCAGGUGAGACUCCAGCUCUACUUUGUUCAUGUAAGCUUCAUCCACAUCUUUCUCGAUGAGAAGAAAUUCACUUUCCAUCUCCAUAUACAUGUUGAUCUCAUCCUUACAUUUACUCGAAGUCCUCCACCAGCCCCUGUAUGUUGCCAAGCUCCGCCUCCAGCUUCAGCUUCUUCUAGCCCAGUGGGGUUCCCUUCCAGCUUAAGAGGCUCAGCAGGCUCUGGCUCACCAUGACAGCUGUUGUGCCCCCACACCAAUGGACCCAUCAUAGCCUCCACCCAAAUCCAACCCAGAGCCCUGUCACCCUAGAAGAUGCUGCUGCUGCUGCUGCUGUCCACCCAAGAGAAGCUAGAGGAGCCAAUGUGGGCUCUGGGUUCACUCCUGUAGGAGCUGCUGCUGAAAGUCCUGGACCCGAGGUGGACACUUUGUAGGACUUCUGGUUCACCCUGAUGGACGUGGUGGAGGCUGGAGUGAAGGCAGAUGGGCUAAAUCUGAUGGAGAUUGGAGAAGGAAUGAAGAUGCUGCUUCUAGGUGGGGACACAUAUGUUUUAUACAACAUACUAAGUAUUUAGAGGUCAGAUAAUGGCUUUUCUUUAAAAUCAGCACAAUACCUGACACUAAAUAAGUGCUCAGGAAAUCACAAUGUUGAACUGAACUGUCUCCAUCAACAUUGAGAAAAGAGUACCUUAGGUUCAGCAUCUCUCUAAUGUGCAAGAUGCAUGACUAAAGGAUUGGAAGACCUUACCAAGAUCACAGGGAUUUACAGUUCUCUACAGUUCUGCUGUACAGAAGUGGGAAGGAGGAUAUACUCUCCACUACUCAAAGGGGAAACUCAGGCAGUUACGUUCUGCCUGUUCUCAAAACAUCCACGCAGUUUUGAGUGCCCAGUAUGCAUCAAGCCUUUUGCAUAUACUAUUAAACUUUCUCUACUUUUAAUGAUUUUUAUUAUAAGGUAUUAAAACAAGAAAAACUCAAAGUGGAAAGUGCCUAAAACCCCAUUAUUUAUUUAUUUUCUGUGUUUUAGUUUUUCCUUGUUACCUUUUACUCCGUGUUCUGUAUUUUCUAUUUAAAAAUUUGCCAGAAUAUUAUCGAUACCCUGUAUUUUCACUUACCAAAAUAUUUUAAAUACUUUUCAUUUUGUUAAAAACAUUUUCUAUGUGUCUUAACCCUCACUUCUCUCUCUCCAUUACACUGAGGUAAAAAGGACAUUUGGAUUCUAAGUCUUACUCCCAGAGAUCAUUGUUUCAAUAUUUGCUUUGAGUUGGUAGUUCCUGUAUUCCAGAAAACCUCUCCUCAUCCUUUCUAGUCAUAUGGAGAUAAUGUAAAUGCUGAUAAGUCAUUCUCCAAGAAAAACAUUUAGUUAAUCUGAUGUGCAACAACAUUUUUGUUUUGUUGUUAUCGUUGUUUUUUAAUGGGUUCCCACUUCUUUAUCAAUUCAGACCUAUGGAACUACAAUUGUUGUUAACACAUUAAUUGCAAUGCUUAGAAUUAAAGGACACUGUUUUUAAUCGCUACAAAUGAAUAUUACAUUGUGCCAAAGGAGACUAUUUGUGUUUAACAUGCAUUAAAAUAUGGAUAAACUUCCAGCUACAUCAUGUGGUCUUGGUGUUAAGAUCUGGUCUCCUAAAAGACGGCAAACAAUCCAGUUUUCAAAUUUUCACCUUCAUACAGUCUACACAACCUAAACCCUUUAGUGGUAGGGUUUGUUCAAAGAAAUCAAUGCAAAGUUCCAGAUUAAGCUUGAUUGUCCUGCCCAAAUCUUCUAGCUCAGUAGCAAUGUUGAUGUCAUUAGGCAUAGACCCUGGCAACAGAGACCUUGAGUCUACAUCUGCAUGGAAAAACUAUUGUAUCUUUCAAUACGGUUUUCUCAACUGUAACUUGUGGGAAAUUUAUUCCUGUAUCAUAGGAUUGCUAAGAAAAUGAAAUAAAAUAACAUAUUGGUUUUGAAAUCAGACUUUCUGGAUUCACAUACUUACUGGUCCCACAUUUAACUUCAUGACUUUGGACAUUCUACUUAAUGUCUCUGUAUCCACAUGAUUUAUUUGAGAAAUACAAAUAGUGGUGUCACUUCAUAGGGUUAUUGUGCGGAAUAAAUGAAUUAAUAUAUGUAACAUACUUUGAACAGGGCCUCACACGAAGUAAGUAAAAGUUAUUGUUUGUGAAAUAAAUUAAAGGAAAAAUGCUUGGCAUCCACAAGAGUUUAAUAACAGGGAUAAUUAUUACUAUUAUUAUUACUGAGUUAUAAGUGUCUCCAAAUUGGUAUACAAGCAUUUAAAAGUGAAAGUCAGAGCAAAUAAAUGUAAUUUUAUUUUAUUGUUUUCUUCUUUUCUAAAUUUGUGUAUUUUUUAUGUAUUCUUUUUUUCACUUUCUUUUUUUUGCAUAUUCGGUUUUGGGGUACAUGUGCAGAACAUGCAAUAUAGUUGCAUAGGUACACACGUGGCAGUGUGAUUUGCUGUCUUCCUCCCCUUCACCCAUAUCUGGCAUUUCUCCCCAUGCUAUCCCUCCCCAGCUCCCCCCACCACUGUCCCUCCCCUAUUCCCCCCAAUAGACCCCAGUGUGUAGUGCUCCCCUCCCUGUGUCCAUAUGUUCUCAUUGUUCAUCACCCACCUAUGAGUGAGAAUAUGCGGUAUUUCAUUUUCUGUUCUUGUGUCAGUUUGCUGAGAAUGAUGUUCUCCAGAUUCAUCCAUGUCCCUACAAAAGACACGAACUCGUCGUUUUUGAUUGCUGCAUAAUAUCCCAUGGUGUAUAUGUGCCACAUUUUCCAAGUCCAGUCUAUCAUCGAUGGGCAUUUGGGUUGUUUCCAGGUCUUUGCUAUUGUAAACAGUGCCACAAUGAACAUUCGUGUGCAUGUGUCCUUAUAGUGGAAUGAUUUAUAGUCCUUUGGAUAUAUACCCAGUAAUGGGAUUGCUGGGUCAAAUGGAAUUUCUAUUUCUAGGUCCUUGAGGAAUCACCACACGAUCUGCUACAAUGGUUGAACUAAUUUACACUCCGACCAGCAGUGUAAAAGUGUUCCUAUUUCCCACAUCCUCUCAAGCAUCUGUUGUCUCCAGAUUUUUUAAUGAUCACCAUUCUAACUGGCGUGAGAUGGUAUCUCAAUGUGGUUUUGAUUUGCAUUUCUCUGACGACCAGUGAUGAUGAGCAUUUUUUCAUAUGUUUGUUUCCCUCAUGUAUGUCUUCUUUUGUAAAGUGUCUGUUCAUAUCCUUUGCCCAUUUUUGAAUGGGCUUGUUUGUUUUUUUCUGUAAAUCUGUUUGAGUGCUUUGUAAAUUCUGGAUAUCAGCCCUUUGUCAGAUGGGUAAACUGCAAAAAUUUUUUCCCAUUCUGUUGGUUGCCAAUUCACUCUAGUGACCGUUUCUUUUGCCAUGCAGAAGCUGUGGAGUUUGAUUAGGUCCUAUUUGUCUAUUUUGGCUUUUGUUGCCAAUGCUUUUGGUGUUUUGGUCAUGAAGCCCUUGCCUACUUCUAUGUCCUGAAUGGUUUUUUCUAGGUUUUCUACUAGGGUUUUUAUGGUGCCAGGUAUUAUAGUUAAGUCUUUGAUCCAUCUGGAGUUAAUUUUAGUGUAAGGUGUCAGGAAGGGGUCCAGUUUCUGCUUUCUGCACAUGGCUAGCCAGUUUUCCCAACACCAUUUAUUAAACAGGGUAUCCUUUCCCCAUUGCUUGUUUUUGUCAGGUUUAUCCAAGACUGUAUGGUUGUAGAUAUGUUGUGUUGCCUCCAAUGCCUCUGUUUUGUUCCAUUGGUCUAUAUCUCUGUUUUGGUACCAGUACCAUGCUGUUUUGAUUACUGUAGCCUUGUAGUAUAGUUUUAAGUC
ensembl:lncRNA